CAGCCGCCGCGGUAAUACGAGGGGUGCAAGCGUUAUUCGGAUUGAUUGGGUGUAAAGGGUGUGCAGACGGCUUAUUAAGUCACUUGUUAAAUUCUUCGGCCUAACUGAAGGUCUGCAAGUGAUACUGAUGAGCUAGAGGGUGGAAGAGAGAAGUGGAAUUCUCGGAGUAGCGGUAAAAUGCGUAGAUCUCGAGGGGAACACCAAUGGCGAAGGCAGCUUCUUGGUCCAUUCCUGACGUUCAUACACGAAAGCGUGGGGAGCAAACAGGAUUAGAUACCCCCGUAGUCCCUGUCUCUUAUAC
rnacentral:rRNA from 1 species